UUUAGUGGUGUCAUGUUUGGGUUGGCAACCAAAAAUGUACAUUGAAACAUGUGCUGAUUGCUGACUCCAUGUGCUGGCCGCACUCCUUGGAGAUGACCAGCUUUGACCUUCCCACCCAGAAGGGGGAGAUUGGGAACCCCUCUUCCUGGCUCUGGUAGCAGAAGCUCCUCCCAGCCCUGGCCUUCAACUCUACCAAGAGCCUUUACUCCGCACAUCCUUACCUUUGCCCUACUGAUACGUUGGCAGGAAAUUCCUUCCUGUGGAGCUACCUGCUCUCUGCCCAUGAGACACUGACAGCACUUCCUGCACCCAGGUUGCGACAGCCAGGAAUGUCUCCAGGUCUUUCCUCCAUCUGGAUUCGCCCUAAGACACCCAGACUCUGGUCAGAGGUCCUCCACAAACCAAGCAGGCUGGGAGCUGUGAGUGCCCAGCAGAGCUCACCGCCUGCCCUGCGCCACAGGCCCAGUGGGGAUGACGGAGCAGACCGAUGCGCUGCCUUGGAAGUAUUUCCAAACGUAAGAAGCCGAUCCAGGGAGCCCUGGCAGGGUGUCCAGAGAACAGCAUGGAUGAAGCAGGAGCUGCGAGAAUCAGCUUCUCAUAUCUACUGGGGCUUAGCACAUGCCUAUUGCACAGUGGGUGCUGAAGAAGAGGUCAAAACUGGGUUUCUCCAUGCUGGUGAUGCAGUUUCCUUAAGCUCUUUCCACCGUUGGCCUACAUGCUAUCCACCGGGAAGACUCAUUGCUCCUGGAUUCCAGUUCCUGGGCGCAUGUCCUAAGGGAAGCCCCUCCAGCUGGGGUUGACCUGAAGUUUCCAAGUUCUGAUCCACCAAAUAUCCUUUGAAUGUAUUCCUGCUGGUAAUCUUUCCCUAUCAGUUCAAUGUGUUCCCCCCUAGAGGUAGGCCAAUGGCCAAUGUGUGGCUCACGGCCCACCUUGAACUGAGAGGUGAGGUUUGGGGAGCAAUGAGAUUGUGUUGAUGAGCUGGUGUUAAAUUGAGAAAAUGUCACUCGUUCCUGUUGAUCAGUUCACCUCCUUGUAAAUGCUUUGUUUACAGAAAAACAAGGCUUAGCUAAGGGUCAGCCAUGGAGAGUUCCCUGAUAAAAUUAGCAUACUAAUUUUUUUAAUGGGUUUUAUGAGUUCCCAUCAUUCUUCAUUUGCUACUCCAAGGUAUAGUAAUAUUUUCAUGAAUUUUUUCCCUGUUGUGUUUUUUUGUUUGUUUGUUUUUACUGUGACUGGAGGUCUAUUUUGAGGAAGUAAAAACAUGUCCUCAGUGCAAAGUUUUGAACUGGAAGCCAUUUCCACGUGCAUGUGUUACUUCCUAAGCCAGGGUUUGAUGACAUAAAGUAAAAUUGGCCUGCAGAAGCCCCUUUACCUUCCUGACAUUGUGUUGGCUUGAGCACUUUUUUAUCAAAAUGCAGCGUUUGACAAACUGCAAUGGUUCCAGCGCAAUGAAUUCUCAUGACAGAAAGGGUGGCAGGGCCGGCUGCCCCUGAGUUAGUGCUGUUCUCCCUCUGGCCCGUUAAGGCGUUAGGAUUUAAGAAUUGUAUUUUCUACUGGGAACGUGAAACACGUUACUUUCUAAAUAGAAAGGCAGAAGCCUAAGCCUGAAAUGAGCAAAAAUAUACCACAUAAUGAAGAUAUGUAGAGCUUUCUGGAAUCACUGAGGAUUGAGACAGAUGCACCUCUGAGGCUUCUGACCUUGAACUUGACAUAGCAGAAUUUGGUUCAAGCAUAGCCAGCAUACCAGAAAUUAGUGACAUCAGCUGAAGUAAAAGGUAUUGAUGUUUGUUCUUAGAAAGUUACUUCAAAGAUGAAUAUUAUAAUUGUGGCAGAGCAAAUAUGCUUAAAUCUUAAUUUCACCUGUUCAAGAAACCAAUACAUUGCAUAAAACCAAGGUCAUAAUGAGAUAUUUAAUAGCCAACUUGCAAACUUUUGAGAAAAUCUGUGACUAUUUUUCUUCACUUGACUCUUCCAUCAAGCUUAGUUUCAGAAAUCACUUGAAUGGUGAAAUUCACAUUACAGGAGAAAAGUCGUUAAAGCCCCACCCUGUCACUAUGACUGACUAUAGUUUUAAACCAGUACAAGUAGCUUUGCUGAAAAAUAUACCCUUCUCAAAUGGCAUGAUGAGAAUGCAUUUUAUUGCAAUUAAAAAGUAAUCCUGUGCUUAAAUACAUGGUUAAGAGACUUGAGUUUAACUCCAGUCUUUACUUGCAGUUGGUCAUAGUAUAUUGAUCUGUGUUCACAAUGCUUAUGAUGAUGGUAUCUAUAAACACUAAUUAUGCCACAAAGCACCUGAGGGCUUAGAUAUGGCGCAGAAAUUUUCAACCAUGUGUGAGUACUUUUUUAGUAAUUGCUGGAUUGACUAGGGAAAAAAUUGUACAUUUGGAUGCCCUGAUAAAGUUAAAAUGAUGACAUCUGAUACUUAGUUUGGGUUCCUGAGAAGCACCCCUGAGAUGCAGAUAUAUGUAAAGUCAUUUAUUAAGUGAUCCCAGGAGAACCGGUAGAGGAAUGAGGAGACAGGACUGGAAGGGCAGGGGCAGCAAGUGAGGGUAAACGUCAGGCAGAGGCUCCAGAGCGCAGCUUCGGCUGGCUUCACCACCAGGGAAGCUAGGGUCUGAGUGGCGCCCACGUCAAAGUCCUUCCUAUCAGUGAAGGAGAAAUGAAGACUUCAGUUGCAAUUGGUCAAGUUCUGAUCCUGUGGGGCAAACUCCCCAGUGCUCCCCUUCUCUCCCUGGAAGUAGCUGCUCUGAGGCCCAUUCCCCACGCCCUCCUCCUUGUCUGCCUCCUUCCCAAUGCCAGGCAACAUGGGUUACCCUGUGACAGGAGAUGGCAAGCAGACAAGGAGGGCUGCUGUAAGGCACGGAGUGCAAAGAUGGUCCUGUGGAAUGGCCGUUUCUGGGGCCCCUGUACCAGCUCUACAUGGCCACCUCCUGAAUUCCUAAAUUCUUGUGCUGUGGGUCAAAUAUAUCAUAAGCUAAGCUGUUGCUAGUCAGAGUGCUGUUUGUAGCUGAAAUCGUUCCUAACCAAUGCAGUGUUGAGUGGAAUGGUAAAAACACAUUGAAUAAAAGAGAUAAUAAUUUAUUGUUAAUUUUUGUUCAAAUGUUAAUAAAGCAGGAAGUUUCCUUCAGUGUUUGUUGUGCUCCGUGGAUACUAGCUGACUAGGCUGGAAGCAGGCACUGGUCUGGGUUUUCCAGUUUGUGGUCAAAUCGCUGUUUUUCUUCAAGGAGGAAAAAUAACAGACAUCACUUGGAUAAGGGGGAUGAAUUUAUUGUUCAUUCAGACGAUGAAGAGUGAGAUCUGGUUUGUUUCAGCAGACGCUUAACACUCAAUCAACAAUCGCAAGACAAAAUGGAAUGUGUUCACUGCAGAUGACAAGGUCGUUGGAAUGAAGAUGAGCUUGGGAAUUGGUGAAGACAAUGGAUCAGGAAGACGAUUUAUCACUGGAGACCUUUGGCUCAUGUACUUGUGAUGAGAUUUACUGCAUUUGUUGCAAAAUGAGGUCCAUAAUUAACCACCUUUCCCCACAAAUCGCCGUGAGGACCAUGGAAGAACUGACCAGGGGGCUCCCAGGCUUCUGGCCCCAGAGCCCCUCGUGUAUGAGGGGCAGCAGGCACCAUGACCUGCUUCUCCCACUUGGCCUUGAGCUCCAGGACAGUAGGACACCUCUCUUGUUCUUUGUUUAACCCCUUCCCUUGGCUCCAUGGUGGUCUUUGAAAUAUUACAGAAUGAAUAAUUACAGAGAGCGUCAGAGACACCUUCAAUGCACCGCAUGCCCAAGCCGUUAGCCUCCCGAUUCAGUGCAUUCACUUAGACUGUGUUCACUGGUGGGGACUAACAAGAGCAUAGACGCUGCACCUGGCCAUGCCCUGGGGAGAGUUAGGGGCGUCUCUCAUCAGAACCACUCUCACAUUGAUGGUAGAAAAGUGAUAAACAUGGAUGCCAUUGAUAUCCACACAUUUAUGCUAGCUAACAAGUCAGAAAGAAGGGCCUGAAUAUUGAAUCUGCAAUGCAGAGACAGCUUUUUGUGAUUCAGCCCAAUUUUUGGAAACUGGCAGACUCAGCGCCAGCAUUUCAUCUGCUAAACAACGGAGCAGGAAGGAAAUCUCUUGUCCCUUCAUGUGUUUGAGGCAAGCAAUCCAAUGCACUGGAAAGGAAACAAAAUAUAUCUAGAAGAAUCUCUUGAAACAAGUAUCCACAGAUAAUGUGACAACAGGAACGAGACCAUAGCAGCACCGGAUCACUAUGAAGACCUGAGGGAAACUCAAAAUGUCUGCUUUGUACCUUAUUUUAAUAUUAACUCUACCACCAAUUUCAAGUGCCCCCAGUCACUGGUAACAUCCUGAAGUGGGCACUUGUCCUUCAAUAAUAUAACCGUGUUGCAUAAAUACUUUUUCUGCCUGUGAACACAAUGGAGUUAAAUAUUAAGUGUAAAGAGUUCUACAAAACCAUGCAGUUAUUAAAUGAUGUUACUGCUAAUGGAACCUUUG